AUGACGCUAGCGGCAGGCUUAAUACAUGCAAAUCGUGGGGCAGCAGGUCGUUAGCAAAUACGGAAUGCUGGCGACCGGCAAACGGGUGCGGAACAUGUACACAACCUUCCUUAAAGUGGGGAUAGCCCGGGGAAACCCGGAUAAUACCGUAACAUAAUGAAGUGGCAUCACUUUAUUAUUAUAGCUCCGGCGCUUAAAGAUGGGUGUGCGACUGAUUAGCAGUGUGGCGGGGGUAACGGCCCCCCAACCAUACGAUCAGUAACUGGUGUGAGAGCACGACCAGUCACACGGGCACUGAGACAACGGGCCCGACUCCUACGGGAGGCAGCAGUAAGGAAUAUUGUCAAUGGACCGCAAGUCUGAACCAGCCAUGCCGCGUGAGGAUGAAGGUCCUCUGGAUUGUAAACUUCUUUUAUCUGGGAAGAAUCCAUGAAUUCUUUUGUGGUUGACGGUACCAGAUGAAUAGCACCGGCUAACUCCGUGCCAGCAUAGCGCGGGUAAUACGGAGGGUGCAAGCGUUAUCCGGAUUCACUAUGGGUUUAAAUGGGUGCGUAGAGUUAGGUGUAGGUAAGUCAGUGGUGAUAAUCUCCAGGCUUAACUUGGAAACUGCCAUUGAUACUACAAUCUUGAAUACCGUGGAGCGUCAGCGGAAUAUGUCAUGUAGCGGUGAAGUGCUUAGAUAUGACAUAGAACAACCAAUUGCGAAGGCAGCUGGGCUACUACGAAUAUUGACACUGAUGCACGAAAAGCGUGGGGAUCAAACAGAUUAGAUACACUGGUAGUCCUAGCCCUAACGAUGGAUACUUGGUGUGUCGCGGUUUUUAGUCCCGGCGUGCGGACUAACGCGUUAAGUAUCCCCGCCUGGGGAGUACGGUCGCAAGGCUGAAACUCAAAGGAAUUGACGGGGACCUGCACAAGCGGUGGAGCAUGUGGUUUAAUUCGACGCAACGCGAAGAACCUUACCUGGGUUAAAUCCGAGUGAAAAGCGCAGAGAUGCGUUCCCCCGCAAGGGCACAAAGGAAGGUGCUGCAUGGCUGUCUCGUCAGCUCGUGUCGUGAGAUGUUGGGAUUAAGUCCCGCAACGAGCGCAACCCUACCAUUAGUUACCAGGCUAUUCAGUUGGGACUCUAAUUGAACUGCCGGUGAUAACCGGAGGAAGGUGGGGUAUGACGUCAAGUCAUCAUGGCCUUUAUGUCCAGGGCUACACACGUGCUACAAUGGACGGUACAAACCGUAGCAAACCCGCGAGGGGGGUAGCCAUCGAAAAAACCGUUCUCAGUUCGGAUUGUAGUCUGCAACUCGACUACAUGAAGUUGGAAUCGCUAGUAUUCGCGGAUCAGCACGCCGCGGUGAAUACGUUCCCAGGUCUUGUACACGCCGCCCGUCACAUCACGAAAGUGGGCUGUACUAGAAGUGGCUGAGCUAACUCGCAAGAGAGGCAGGUUACGACGGUAUGGUUCA
rnacentral:rRNA from 1 species